AUUGAACGCUGGCGGCAGGCCUAACACAUGCAAGUCGAGCGAGCGGCGGACGGGUGAGUAAUGUAUGGGGAUCUGCCCGAUAGAGGGGGAUCACUACUGGACACGGUGGCUACUACCGCCUACUUUCGGAUGAACCCAUAUGGGAUUAGCGAGUAGGUGGGGUAAAGGCUGACAAAGGCGACUAUCUGUACCUGGUCUGAGAGGAUGAUCAGCCACACUGGGACUGAGACACGGCCCAGACUACUACGGGAGGCAGAAGUGGGGAAUAUUGGACAAUGGGCGCAAGCCUGAUGCAGCCAUGCCGCGUGUAUGAAGAAGGUUUUCGGAUCGUAAAACUCUGUUGUUAGAGAAGCGGUAUCUAACCAGAAAGCAACGGCUAACUUCGUGCCAGCAGCCGCGGUAAUAC
rnacentral:rRNA from 1 species